rnacentral:rRNA from 1 species
CCUACGGGAGGCUGCAGUGGGGAAUAUUGGACAAUGGGCGAAAGCCUGAUCCAGCCAUGCCGCGUGUGUGAAGAAGGCCUUCGGGUUGUAAAGCACUUUCAGUGGGGAAGAAAGCCUUGGGGCUAAUACCCUCGAGGAAGGACAUCACCCACAGAAGAAGCACCGGCUAACUCCGUGCCAGCAGCCGCGGUAAUACGGAGGGUGCGAGCGUUAAUCGGAAUUACUGGGCGUAAAGCGCGCGUAGGCGGUCUGAUAAGCCGGUUGUGAAAGCCCCGGGCUCAACCUGGGAACGGCAUCCGGAACUGUCAGGCUAGAGUGCAGGAGAGGAAGGUAGAAUUCCCGGUGUAGCGGUGAAAUGCGUAGAGAUCGGGAGGAAUACCAGUUGCGAAGGCGGCCUUCUGGACUGACACUGACGCUGAGGUGCGAAAGCGUGGGUAGCAAACAGGAUUAGAUACCCGAGUAGUC